ensembl:lncRNA
CUGAGAGUAAAAUGGUCGCCAUGGAAUUUGCAAUGGCUCCAUUUCUGAAAAUGUUUAGGGCCGCAAACUAUACAAGUGUACCAAGUUUCAUGCUUGUAUGAAAAAGUGAACAUUAUUUUCACAUACACCUAGACCAGGGGCCUCCAACCCUGCUCCUACAGAGCUAUCGUCCUGCAGACUUCAGUUCCAACCCUGCUCCAAUACACCUGUCUGUAAUUAUCAAGUAUCCCUAAACACCUUGAUUAGCUGGUUCAGGUGUGUUUAAAUGGGAUUGGAGCAGAAAUCUGUAGAACGGUAGCUCUCCAGGAGCAGGGUUGGAGACCACUGACCUAGACUAUACUGAAAUAUACAGAUGAAAUGAUACAGUUGUUACAGAUGAGAUAAUUGUUUUGUCUGAUUUUUUUUUCUACAUUUAUAGCAUAAAAGUCAUUAUUAGAUUUUUCAUAACAAACAUCUUUUUUUCUUUUUCUUUUUCCCUUUUUUUUGUGAGAUGUAAAAAUAUUAGGGCCGGGACUUUAACGCGUUAAUUGAGAUUAAUUAAUUACACAAAAAAUAACGCGUUAAUUAAGAUUAAUUAAUUACACAAAAAAUUUUGCGCAUUUUUAAUAACUUAUUUUUGCACUGCGGAACGUUUCUCACUGGAUGAGUUUCGGCGGACCGAUUAUACUGGAGCACCAACUAGCGUUCAUGACUUCAGACAACAAACCACAGUGAACAUGAACGAAGAAGCAGACGAGACCGCUUUGGUUCAAGUAGGGCUCGCUGCAGCCUGCGGUGGACAUCCAACCCCGCCCACAUCCAAGUGUGACGUCAGAAGUCACGCCCAUCCCCGACACAACCCCGCCCACAUCCAAGUGUGACGUCAGAAGUCACGCCCAUCCCGACACAACCCCGCCCACGUCCAAGUGUGACGUAAACGAAAGCCACGCCCAUAUCAAAUACGUCUCCUCAUGUGAUUUCCCCAUCCCCGUACCUGGAAACCCGGAAGUAGUCUUUGAUGGCAUUCUGUUGAUUUUUACUGUCCAUCUGGAGAAUGGCAGGCCCUGUCACCUCCCCACAGAAUAACCCACGAUGACUCUGUACCACGCUGGACCAAUGUCCCUUACAAACUUCCACUUUAUGUCCUCUUGGCGCUCCUGUUAAAAAUAGAGAAUACAUACGUGUUGGGGGUAUAUGUGUCCUCUUAAAAUUAUUUACCUCAUCAUUCUACAUAAACAUAUUUAUGAUUUUAAACCACAAAAAUCAAUCAAUAUCUAAAGAAAUGCUCUCACCAUACCUCCAUGCACCACUGCAUGGCUUAUGUGGUCCUUCAAGUGAACUGUAACAAGUAAUUUUCUUUACUGGUGAAACUGCAGCAGGGACCCCUUAACCCGGGAGAACUGCUCUGCAUCAGGCUUGGACUGAAAAUAUAGAAUGUAGAAUGCUGUAAAACAUGACAAACAAACAUUAGGUGAUCUUUUCGUUAACAGAAGAAUACAAAGAUAAUUUGUGACAUACACAGAGUUAUCCAGCAAGACAUAAUGAAAUGAUGCGGUUGCCCAACCAAGUUACUGUGCAUGGGUACUGUGAUCAGAGUAUAUCAUUAAAGAGGUUAUAUGUAUGUGAGUGUUUUGUGUGUGUGUGUGGUGGUGGUGGGGGGGGGCAGGUAAGUACAUAUGUGUGAGAGGGAUGAAGUGUGUGUGUCUGAGUGGGUAAGAUGAGUGUUAUGUGUUGGGGGAAGGGUAUAAAAAAAUAUUGCACAUUGAUUCAUAAUUGAUUUUAUGUUGUAAGACUUGUGCCUUCUAUCUAUCUAUCUAUCUAUCUAUCUAUCUAUCUAUCUAUCUAUCUAUCUAUCUAUCUAUCUAUCUAUCUAUCUAUCUAUCUAUCUAUCUGUCU